ensembl:lncRNA
CUCCGUACCGGGGCCGCGUCCAGGUCUCCCCCAGCGACUCCCACAGCGACAUCUCCUUGGGGACCAGAUGGCCGCGCAGGAAGCCCACGGCGUCGCGGGAGAGCCCAGGGCUGGUGACCGAGCGCGCGAGGUCCGGGCCUCCGCAGGUGUUGACGAUCUGGGGCACAGCGCGGGUCAGAUCGCGGCCCACACAGCCGCCGGUGCGAGCUCCGAGCUCUGCAGGAGGGCGCGGGGCAGGGACCACGCCCUGGGCGGCCGGGGACAGGGCCACGCAGACGCGCGCCUGGCGCUGCCCCGUCACCCAGACCCGUUCCUCGGCCCCACCCACAACCGGCCCCGCCCACUCCCAUCCCCUGGCCUCGGGCCCCGCCCCGCCCCGCCCCAGGCACCAGGUCCAGCGGGCCGAAGAGGAAGUGCACCAGCUCCGCGGCGCUGGGGUUCUGGAUGUGCUUUUGCAGCUUUGCCUGGCGGGGCGAGGACAGGGCAAGCCGGCAGUCGGCCAGUGCACUCUCGAUGUCCUCCUGCACCAGCUCAGCCUGGGGACACAGGGGCGUCAGGCUCACCCAGCGUGCACCGUGCCGCCCGCCCUGGGGCCUGCUGGCUCACCUCCACCUCGUCACAGUGGAAGAAAUGGAUGUCGGGCUUGUUCUGCUCGGAGUCCUGGCACACCAGGAGCAGCACUGAGGGGUAGCGAAGCUGGUUGAGCACCGUCUGGCUGUGCUGCACUGUGGCCAAUGGGAAGUUCUCCAGCUCCUCCUGGGGGCGGGUGGCAGGGUCAGCGCAGUCCUGGACACGCGGCUGGACUGUGGCCCCGGCACACAGCAGACAGAUGUGGCCGAGAAAAGGAGCAGUGCCACAGCCCGGGGUCGCCUUGUGGGCACAGCACAUAGUCUGGCCCUUGGACACAGACACACAUUGGCCACAGGCACAGAAAAGGGACAGGGGAGGUCCAGAUGUGGCCCAGGGGUACAGACAAGGACACUACCAGGCCUGGUCAUAGCUACAGAUAGGCCCAGGGCACAGACCAGGGGCUCGCUGCCACCUUGAGGUACUCUCAGCUCCACCCCAUCUUCCCUGCCUCCCCGGGCCCUGUCACCUUCUGCCAGCUGAACGGCAGGGAACGCCUAUCCCACAGACAGGCCCUGACACACAGCCGGCCCAGAGGACAGCGGCCCAACCUCCACCCACCCAUACCUGCGUCUCGAUGUCCAGCAGCCGCACUGACUGGUCGCUGACCUGCAGCAGCAUCUCCUGGGCCCAGACCUUCUCCUUGGAGCUCAGCUGCACCAACUUCCGGAUGGCGUCGUCCACGGAGGGAUCGAACUCAGAGGCAGGCAGCAGAACCACUGAGCUAAAUCCCCACCCAGUGAUUUUCAUUUCUGACAACGUGAUUGUGCAGUACCAAGGAUUGAACUCAGGACCUUGCACUUUCUUUUGAUUUUUAAAGACUAUUUUUCUGGGUUAUGUGAUAUUUUUGUGUACUUCAAAGCAGUUUUAUUUUUUUCUUUGGUACCGGGGAUCGAACUUGGGACCUUGCGCUUGUGCAGCAGGCGCUGGAACCACUGAGCUAAAUCACUGGGAAGGACCUUGCACUUUCAAGGCAGGUGGCAGAACCACUGAGGUAAAUCCCUGGCCCUCUAGCAGCUUUUUUAAGGAGCAGAAAUGGACAAACUGAUUCUAAAAUUUAUAUGGAAAUCUAGGCUGGGGAUUUAGCUCAGUGGUUCCGGCACCUGCCUUGCAAGCAGAAGGACCCAAGUUCAAUCCCCAGUACCAAAAGAAAAAAAGAAAGAAAGAAAAAUUUAUAUGGAAAUCUAAAGAGCUUAGUCAAAAAUUUUAGCUGGCCACUGGUAAUACACACCUAUAGUCCCAGCUACUGGGGAGCCUGAAGCAGGGUUGCUUGAGCCCAGGAGUUUGAGAUCAGCCUGGGCAACACAGCAAGACCCUGUGUCUAAGGAAGCGCGUGAGAGUGUGUGUGUGUGUGUGUGUGUGUGUGUGUGUGUGUGUGUGUGUGUUGGGGCUCAAAUUCAGCCUCAUGUAUGCUAGGCAACCACUCUACAACUAAGCUAUGCCCAAGUUCCAAGAAAGAACAAGUUGAGAAACAGAACAAAGUUGGGAGUCUCACUGAUUUGAAGCUAAGGUUAGAGCUAUGAUUCAAAGCAUGUACACACAAACAAAAGAAAACAGAAAACAAAAAGCCCGGUGUGGUGGCGCACUCUGUUACCCUAGCACUUGGGAGGCUGAGGCAGGUGAGGGUCACCGUGAGUUUGAGGCCAGCCUGGGCUACAAAGCAAGACCUUGUUUCAAACAAAACAAAACAAAACAACAAAACCAGCAUAUAUAUAGAAUAACAGGUCAGUGAAAUGAAGAAUUCAGAGGUAGGGCCAGGGAUUUAUAGCUCAGUGGCACUGCACCUGCCUCGCAAGCACAAGGUCCUGAGUUCGAUCCCCAGUACUGCAAAAACAAAGAGAAUUCGGAAACAGGCCCAUCCACAUCCAAUUAAUCAGCUGUUGCCAAAGGCAUCAGAGCCAGUCACAGGGAAAGGAAAGCCUUUGUAACGCAGCUGGACAUUCUUACGGGAAAAGAGGCCUUGCUCCGGCCCCACAGCAUGCACAGAAAUGAAUCUAAAGCACAUCACCAACAGACAAAACGCCUCCACUACCAAGCAAAGCAUCCAACAGAAGACACAGAAAGGAGGAUUCAGAGUCUUGGCCAGGCAACAAUUUCUUAGGAGACAAAAAUCAACCAACCAACAAAACCAUAAAAGAGAUUUUUAAAAAUGAGUACGACUGGACGUCAUCAAAGUUGAACACUUCUGCUCAUUAAAAGACAGCCCACCAGGUGACAAGCCACGGACUGGGAGAAGAUGUUUCUAAUUCAUGCUUCUGACUGUGAAGGUGAAGAGCCCCCCAGAACUAGGAGCGACUCCAUGAGGUACAGAAGAGACACUGGGCCUGCCCAGCUGGCAGAGGCCCACACCACAGAGCCCAGUGCAGCUGACGAGUUCUUCUCGGCAGUCUUCUUCUUUUUUUUUUUUAUUUUUAUUUUUUUGUUACCGGGGAUCGAACUUGGGUCUUUGUGCUUGUGUAGCAGGCGGCGAAACCACUGAGCUAAAUCCCCGGGCCUCUUCUUAAAAUAAUUCACGAAGCAGAGGAGCAGAGGAGCAGAGGUGGCUGUGAUCUACAGGAUCUCAUUUACAGACAAAACUGUAGUGAUGGGGGACACGGCAGUUGCCAGAGACUGGGGAGGGGUGGCUGUGACCACAGAGGGUUUCAAAGGAGGAUGGACUGGUGGUGGAGCUGCUGUGUGCCCAGGUCACCAUGGUAACAGAACCACACACCCCCCCAUUUACUGUAGGAAGUUAGAAAAGAAAU